rnacentral:rRNA from 1 species
AUGAGACCCCUGGUGCUGCUCGUCGCGCUGGCCAUUGUCGCCGUCCUCGCAGCUCUGCCAGGGCUAGGGACGGCACAGCUGAGAGCCAAAGGCGCGACGCCGAGCGCCUGGCCGUGCUGCAACAAUUGCGGCAGCUGCACCAGGUCCUUGCCUCCGCAGUGCGUCUGCAGGGAUGUGUCCCCGAGAGGGUGCGAUCCGGCCUGCAACAACUGCGUCAGGUCCAACUCCACCGUCGCCGGCCGCCGUGGCUUCCAGUGCUUUGACCGCAUCAAAAACUUCUGCGAGCGCCGCUGCACACCUGUCGUGUGA